AUACGAAAGGUGCAAGCGUUGUUCGGAUUUACUGGGCGUAAAGAGAGUGUCGGUGGUUUAUUAAGUCGGAUGUGAAAUCCCGGGGCUCAACCUCGGAACUGCAUUCGAUACUGAUAGGCUAGAGUUUGGGAGGGGUAAGCGGAAUUCCGUGUGUAGCAGUGAAAUGCGUAGAUAUACGGAGGAACACCUGAGGCGAAGGCGGCUUACUGGACCAAUACUGACACUGAGACUCGAAAGCGUGGGUAGCAAACAGGAUUAGAAACCCUAGUAGUCC
rnacentral:rRNA from 1 species